CUUUUCACUCAUCUGGGCCUCUCUAGUCAGCGACCUCUCCCGAUGGCUCUAAAGCUCAAUGGUUGCUGGGCGGGGCCGUGACGUCCUUGGCGUAGCUGCAGGGGAGGCCGCGGCGGGGAAAAUGGCGGACGGGAAGGCGGGAGAGGAGAAGCCUGAAAAGCCGCAGCGAGUUGGAGCCGCCGGAGUUAAUUCAUGGGAGCCUCUUCUACUGCCACACAAUCUCAGUUCCUGCUAUAUACUCUAACAAACAGUGGAAGAGACUGUUGGGUCAGUAGGUGACAACUGCAGAGGUAUCUUCCUUAUAACGAUGCUUUUUGAGGUUGCUGCUCCCAUCAAUCUGCUCAGUAAAAAUAGCUCAUCUUGGUAAGUUGUUUCGACUUCACCAGGACCUGAAGAAGAAGCAGAAAAACCUGUGAAAACUAAGACUGUUUCUUCCAGUAAUGGAGGGGAAAGUUCCAGUCGCAGCGCUGAGAAGCGAUCAGCUGAAGAAGAAGCUGCAGACCUCCCAACAAAGCCUACAAAGAUCUCCAAGUUUGGAUUUGCCAUAGGUAGUCAGACAACUAAGAAAGCAUCAGCCAUAUCCAUCAAACUUGGAUCAAGUAAGCCUAAAGAAACUGUUCCAACUCUUGCUCCAAAAACCCUUUCAGUAGCAGCAGCUUUUAAUGAAGAUGAAGAUAGUGAACCAGAGGAAAUGCCUCCAGAAGCAAAGAUGAGGAUGAAGAAUAUUGGAAGGGAUACACCAACAUCAGCUGGACCAAACUCUUUCAAUAAAGGAAAGCAUGGGUUUUCUGAUAACCAGAAGCUAUGGGAACGAAAUAUAAAAUCUCAUCUUGGAAAUGUUCAUGACCAAGACAAUUAAAUGAUGUGUUUUGAAAUUGGGGUAUGGGGUGGGUGUAAAGUUAAAAGGAACAGUUUCCUUUUUUAAAGAAUGGUAUAAGACUAUCUUUGGAGCCGCUUUUUUUCCUUUUUCGUUUUUGUUUUUGUUCUGUUUUGUUUUUUAAGAUUGAGUGGUACACUAAUAAAUGAGAGUUUGAAAUUAGAAGUAAUUUAUGUUUUAUAUACAGAUUUCAAGACAUUUGCUAAUUUUGUAGUUUCAUGUGAUUAGUUUCCAAAGGUUACAGAUAAUAAAGAAAUCAGAAAUGGUACCUUUUUAAGAAUUGCAUAUUUUUUUAGGCACAACUAUUAGCACAUUAAGAGGGAAACAAAAGUUACUAUCUUUUUAAAACUGCAAGCAGUUACUCUCCUAACUUAACUCCCUCAUUACCUAAACUGUCUGGCUCCCAGGAACAGCCUUAUUAGAGAGAAGGGAGUAUUGUACUGAGAGGAAAAUGUUACUGGACUAUUGACUGAUAAUAAAUUUAGAUAAAAUUAAAAUACAGCUUUUUUUCCUUAUGGGCAUUUGUUUUGUUUCAAGUCAUCAUAUACUAGGUAUUGGCAUUGCUAUCAGUGGAUACAAACGCUUAGCUCUUAAAAAUGUUUUUAUUUCUUUUUUAAUUUUUAUGUGAAGUAUCGAGUAUUUGAAAUAGCCCACACACCUUAAUGGGUCUUGUCUACCUUCAUUAGUCUUCAAAGAACAACCAUUUGCUACCAAAGUAAAUCAGUAUUCUGAAUGUGCUUCUCUUGGUUUUUAUUCAUAACUAGUUCCUGUAGGCAUUUCCACCAGAACUUGAGGCAAAUCAUAAGGAAGCUGUUUCUUUUAAAAUACAAACCACCACCAAAAAUUUAAAUGUAUAUAAUACUUAAGCAUUUGGCUGGUUUUUAUUUUUUAAAAUGUAUAAAUACCAAAAAAAAAAAGAGAGAGAGAGAGAAAUUUAACAUUGUAUGAAGACAACAUGAGAAGAUGCACUUUCUGUAGCUUUGUCUAAUCAUUUAAGUUACUAACUUGUUAAACCCAAUUUAAAUUGAACUCACUGCAGGAUUUCUUAUUAGUAUAAUUCUAUGGUUUGUUUGAAAUAUAUAUAUUUACUGACCAGUGUCUUCUCAAAAGCACAUUUUAGGUACUAAAAAUAGAAUGAAAGAAAAUGCAUCUUCAAUUACAUUUUAUGAAAUCUCCCACCACAUAUACUAUUAAGAUUUGUGUAUCAUAAGGUGUUUGUUUUGUAUUUUUGUAUUGUAUAUGGACAUUAUUUUUUAAUGUGACAAAUACAUCUUUAAAAGCAUAGUCACAGACAACAAAAAUAUGGUAAUAUGAUUUCCUUGAAAACUCCUACAAUGUUAAAUUUGGAGGCAGCUUCAAACUAUUUUAUUGGUGGUUAUUAACUCACUGAGCUCUUUUAAUUGGUAAUAAUUCCAGAGAAGCAGCCUGUAUAUAUUCCUAACUCUUGUUCACUUGCAUUUAAGUUUAGAAAGAGCCCCAAGUAAAACAAUGGAAAUGUAUAUACAACUAUUAGUUCUUAACAUGAUUUAAUUAUAUCAAGAAACAUGAAUUUAACUUACUUUUAUGUAGGCAAACUAUCCAUUUUGUCCAUUUUACUGUUUGUUAAAAUAACAUCCCUCUCCUACAUAUUCUUUUCUUGACCCAAAUGAAAUAUUAACCUAAGGUCAAGAUGAGGAGAGAGAAACGACUGAGAUGAAUGUCUUUACUAAAAUACCAAUAAAUUUUGUCAAACUCAA